CGUGUAGGCGUCCUGAUAAGUCAGAUGUGGAAGCCUUGGGCUUAACCCAAGAAGUGCAUUUGAAACUGUCGGGAUUGAGUCGUACAUGGGAGGGCGGAAUUCCUGGUGUAGCGGUGAAAUGCGUAGAUAUCAGGAGGAAGGCCGGUGGUGAAGACGGCCCUCUGGGUAAUGACUGACGCUGAGGCGCGAAAGCGUGGGUAGCAAACA
rnacentral:rRNA from 1 species